ensembl:misc_RNA 7SK 7SK RNA
GGAUGUGAGGGCGAUCUGGCUGUGACAUCUGUCACCCCAUUGAUCGCCAGGGUUGAUUGGGCUGAUCUGGCUGGCUAGGCGGGUGUCCCCUUCCUCCCUAACUGCUCCAUGUGCGUCCCUCCCGAAGCUGCGAACUCGGUCGAAGAGGACGACCUUCCCCGAUAGAGAAGGACCACUCUUCGGUCAAGGGUAUAGGAGUAGCUGCGCUCCCCUGCUAGAACCUCCAAACAAGCUCUCAAGAAUGCAAAAUAGCUGUCCAGAAGAAACUCAUGAACUUUAGGACAACACAGAGAAAAAUUUCAGAAGCCUAUCAGAAAAUUUUAAUGAAGAUAUUUA